rnacentral:lncRNA from 1 species
CAGAGGGCCACGGUAUUACAGCCUUCUUUGUGCUGUGUUUGGUGGGUCCUGAGUUCUUGUCCUGCAUCCAAGAAGAAUGAGGUUAUGCUGACAAUCAAAGGAUUAUUUUGCCCUUCUGCCUUCUUCCAUGGGAAAUACAGCAAGAAAGCCCUCGCCACAUGCAGCCCCUCCAUGUUGGACUUCCCAGUCUUCAGAACCAUGAGCCAAAUAAACUUCUAUUGUUUAUAAAUUACUAAGUCUCAGGCAUCUUGUUACAGGAGCACAAAAUGGACUAAGACAUUUAGUAAUGUGAAAUGCAUUGAAGUAUGCUUUGUACAUGAUAAGCACUGAUUAAAUAUUAAAGAUCCUUAUUAGUAUCUUGCAUUGUUACCUCUCUUAUAAUAAUUUAAAAGUUAUAAAACCAAAAGCCUUCGAACUGUAAAAAGAGACUUUGAGGUCUUCAUUUCACUAAUAAUAAAAGUGAAGUCCAAAAAGAUUAAAAAACUUUCUCAGGGCAACACAGCAACUUAAUGACAGGUGAGAAACAUGACCCUGUUUUCUGACCAGUGUUUUAAGGCUUUCACUGUUCUAGUCACUGAUAAUUUGUGGUGACCAACACUGAAAUCAGUGAUUCAUUUCACAGAUAAAAUAUAAAUUAAAAGUUCAUAAGCCUAUGAAUUGGUAGACUAAAAACC